AUGCUUCCUUUGGCAGCACAUAUAUUAAAAUUGGAAUGAUACAGAGAUUAUCAUGGCCCCAAUGCAAGGAUGACACACAAAUUUACAAAGCUUUCAUAUUUAAA
ensembl:snRNA U6 U6 spliceosomal RNA